rnacentral:piRNA from 1 species
UGGAAUGACUGAAAGAAGAACAGCUGUUCC